UUCUAAUCAGGGGCGAGUAAUAAUCGGAAAAAAUAAAAAAACCAGGGGCGGAGUGGACGAGGGGUGCGAGCUCCGAGCGGCGGUUGGGCUCCGGCGUCGUGAUGCUCCACGGCAUUGGGAGCGGCGCGUGGGAUCGACGUCUCUAGAGGGUGGUCUUAGUUUCGGGCAACGCGGCGGGCCGAGCCGUCGUGUUGCGACGUCGGUAGUGCUUGGCGUCAGGGCUGCAUCUCCCGUGUGGACGGCCCCUCGUCGGCAGAGUCGCCGGCGACGAACACUCGGCCGAAGACGGGGCCGCGCCAUGAACCAGGGUUUAGCGGCGUCCUCGGCUGGACGACAAGCUGGUCGUGGGUGGGCGGCGCGGCGAGUCGUGUCUACUUCUUGAAGAGGGUACAGUGGUGGUUGGCAUUCUACAUGAUGCGGGCGGUAUCUCCUCCUACGACAACGGUCGGCAACUAGCUGUUUGCAGCCCUCCGUCAUUUUACAUGAGUAUGUCUUGAUUUACUCUCCCAUGCGAAAUAUUUGCUUGAAUUAAGUUAGAUCAGUAAGAAAACUAGGUAGCAGAAUUAGGAAGGGUUACGUCCCCAAAUAUAUUUCUUUUGGGCAUAGCUAUCAUACAAGCUUACAUCAGAUUGGCAGCUGUUCAUUUCUACAAAAUUCUGGUGUAGUGUUGUGAUUUCCCAGAUGAGUGUUGUGUUAUGUGAAAAUUAUCAUUAAACAUAUGUGAAUAGGAGAAAAAAAUGUAAAAUAGCACAAAACAGAUACACCCAGCAAGGUGUUUUCUAUGGAAUGGUUUCAAUGCUCAAUGUUAUGAAAAACACAUCCGCAUGCACAUUACAUAUGGAGCACGAUGCGCCGCCUAGAACUAGUCAGAUAUUUUACUUUGCACGAAAUUUGGUGAUCUUAACCACAGAAAAUAAAAAAAUACCUCAAAUGUAUUUUCAUUACUAUCAAAUUUAAUGUGAUUUGAUUGUUAUUAUCAAAUUUAAUGUGAUUUGAUUGUUAUUACCUCAAAUGUCUAUUUUGCAAGCGUUCAUAGGACCAAAGCCAGAGUUUACAGCAGUUAUGGGAGAAAACAAAGAAGGGUGGGGAUUAGGACCCAGCGGCCACAGACGAAAUCUGAACCCAAAGUACCAAACCACGUUUCGUUUUGUUUUUUAGGCCCCUAUGCUUCUAGAACUAUUAUCCAAUUUGAUGGCUGCUACUUGGUGCGUGUGCUGGGUGUCCAUGAGGUACUUCUCGGCAGCAGCAUUGCCUCUCAAUUUGCCAACAAGAUCCAUUCAGAUUGUUUAAUCACUGACUCUAGGAUCCAUGCCUACUCUAGGUAGAACUUCAGUAAGCUGCAGAAAUAAACAAUAGAAAGGGUAAAGAACCACUAAGCAUGCCAUUUACCUGAUAUGGCCCAGAUUGUUUUAUUUGAACACCAUAUGGUCCAAAUUGUAACCAAGUAAAACUGCAUGCUCGUCAAAUUUUGUAUGAUGAAACCAUAAUAUUAGCACUCUGAAUGCACGUUUUGAUUGACUACCACCCUGGAUGUCAUCCAUGUUAUUAGCUAUGUUUUGUUACAGGGGAUUUUGGGUACUGCCUGGAUGUGUUGCUUGAGCAGAAGACUUCCAUGUUUUUGUUCAUAGACCGUGUCAUUCUUAUUUUUCUUGUACUUAUCAUGUACUCCCUCCGUCCCAUAAUAUAAGAACGUUUUUGACACUAGUGUAGUGUCAACAACGUUCUUAUAUUAUGGGACAGAGGGAGUACAUGUCAUGGUUUAUGGAAGAGUGUUCGGUUCAGCCGUAUACCAUAUACAUGUUGCCUAACAAGUUUGUUUUCUCAAUACAGAAGCUGUACGAUUAUAUGAAACUGAAAAUAUUUAGUUUUCUGGCCAUAACUCUGAAUUUUUAGUGACUUGUUGCUUCAUUAUGUGGUCAAUUUUUGGUUGCUACUAGCUUGCUGUAAUAUAGACUGUUGACUUGGAGGAUAUAAUUUAUCAUGUUCCUUAAAAAAAAUUAUGUACAAUUUCUUCUCAUGGAUGUUAAUUAUCAUGUCAAGCUUUAAGCUCACACUCUUGGAGAUUUUUUGUUUACGAGGAGAAAUCAGAGGUUUGAGGUUCCUUUUGUUACUGUAUAGUUCUCUCAUUUUGAUCAUUAACAUAAUUCAAUUAGUUUUUGUUCUCAUCGGUCUACGACAUCAGUCGGAUUCAGAAAUUACGCUGGGUAAAACCGAUGUGUUUUGUAGUCUUUUUUUUUACGUUCCUUUUUGUCGUAAAAUUACAUCAAUAGCAUCUGGUUUCUUACAGCGAUUACCCUGGUUUAGUUCCUCACACAUCCACAACGUAACUUGCCUUGCAUGCACAUCGUAAGAUUACCUCAGAAGCCCUUUCUUACGGUGGUUCAGAGCGUGUGCUCGUGGGUGUGGCAUGUGGUUCGUCUGUGAGGUAAAUUUACGUUCAACUCUUUCUUUCCUAGUGGUUGUGGCUGUGGCGUGUGAUUCGGCUGGGGUGAGAUUCUUCACCCUGGGUGACGAAUAGCGAUUGACUCUGUGGGUUCACCGCCACAAUACGCUUUUUCUCAUAAAUUUACGCUUUCAGUUUAAAUUUAAAACAUAUACGUGAUGUGGUACUAAAUUUCAUCCGUUCAGUUUCGUUUUCACAGCUUCCUAUCAGAUGGGCCAGAAAAUUUGCUAUGGGCCACGAGCCGCUGCCUACCCGGCUCCAGCCGAAUGCGCGCCGGCCGCUCUGGCAUGGCGGCGGGUUCAGCCUCGGCGUGGACCUAAAUGCUUCAUUUUUACAAAAAAAUAUAUAUGUUUGUUUGAAAUACAGUCUGCAGUGCGGCGGGUUGAGCCUCGGCGUGGACCUAAAUGCUUCAUUUUUACAAAAAAAUAUAUAUGUUUGUUUGAAAUACAGUCUGCAGUCCUCUAAUUCAUCUUAUCCAAACUUCUACCUUUCCAGCAACGCCGGAGGCAGUUGACGGGCGGCGCCCUGUCGUCGGACGGCUACAACGGCGAUGGAGGAGAAGGCGGACGUCGUGGGUGCGUGCUUGAGUAAGGGAGGCCACCCUUGCUGUGCUCGUGGGCGUUCAUGGAGGAUGGAAGGGGGGACAACUUCCUGUUGGUGCGCCGGCUAUGCUCGUGGGUGUUCAUGGAGGAUGGAAGGUGGGACAGCAUUCUGUGGGUACGCCGACCGUUCGCCGCCAGCGCCGGCCGGCCUCCCCCGCCAGUCCUCUCCAGACUCCUCUGUCGUAUCCGUCUCAACCUCCAACUUCCUACUGCUGUGUUGUGAUUUGGAUAGAAAAUUGGAGGCCGGCCAUGUUCUUCUCUAUUAUAUAUAUAUAUAUGUAUAUGUAUAUGUAUAUAUAUAAUAACACUAUAUUAAUCAUGAAAUCAGAAUAGUUAUUCGGAUCACGGUCGGCCCUAUAUAGGGUCCGGUCGGGAUGUUUGGAACAUCCGAACCGAUAGCUAACGAAAAAAAGCCCACCGAACCAUCCCCACCUACCGCAUCUCCCAAUCUCCCCUCGAUACCAACCCAGCCGUUUCCACCUUAGGAACCCCCCGACCAACCCGCCGCCCCGCCCCUGAUCCCUCGCACCGCUGCCGCCCCCGGCCCUGACCCCGCGCGCCCCCGCCCCCGCUCUGACCUCGCGCGCCGCCGUUGCUGCCCCGACAACCCAAGGCGCCGCCGCCCCAAGAUGGGAAGGCAGCCGCCGCCGAGAAAGAAGCUCCGGGUAGGGCGGAAGAUGGGCACUGUGGCCGCCGGCGAGGAAGAAGAUUCCGGCGGAGAGGAAGAAGGCGACGGAUGCCGCGGACGAGCAAGGAGGGGAGGCCGCAGAGCGGUCGCCUCAUCUCCCUGUCCUGCGGCACUCCGGCGGCUGGAGCAAGGUAAGGCAGAGCACGGGACUAGGAGCGGCUAGAGGAGCUAAGUCAGGGCCCGUUCCGCAGCUCUCCGACGGAUAAGACCACGGCGGUGCUGGUCGGGUGGCCACACUCGCCUCCUCUUGCACUGCUCAUGGUCUCCAUCAAGCACGCACGAAAGAGAUGGGCUGCAGGAAGUGAGAGGGCCAGGAUUCGCCUCUAUCAAUGGAAUUCUUCACCACGCAACUUAUUUGAACUGCACCACCCCUACGCCUUCUUCCUCGUGUCUGAGGCUCCCAAUAGACAGUAGAUUUUAUUGCCAGUGGAGCGAUGUGGUCUGAGUCCUCUCUAUCCAUGUGUUUGAUUUUUUUUGUGCAGAUGCAGCAGGCAGUGCAGAUGUACCAUAUUCUGAAUUUUGAAUCUUGUCUCCUGAACUACUCCUCGCCGCCACCACUUCUACUACCGGUGGUAACCCUCGUCGCCACACCUGGAACCGGUUGUCCGUCAAUAGAAGGCGGUCUGUGUCCAUGCUCCGCUGAUCACCCAGUCACACCCUCUGUACGUGGAGAAUGCCUUUAUUCUUCUGUUUGAAAAAUCUGAAAUUCUGAAGCAACCGUAUUGGUUCACACAUGUACCAUCUUGGUAUUAACCAAAUCGAACAUCAACAAAAUAAAAGCAGACAAUAGAGAUACUAAUGUGAACCUGUGUGCAUUAUAUAGAAAUUUUGGUUGUUACUCCUUGUAGUACUUAUCUUCCGAUACAUGUACAGAACUCAUGUUUUUCUUUAGUAUUCAUCUUCCUGUACACGUACAGAAUUGAUGCACGGAAGAACAUCAUAUGGAAGACAGGCUCCAUUCAGUCAAUUUUUCGAAAAAGCCAUAUGUAUACUCAGAAGUUCUGCCUGGACAACCGCUUCAGUUCGAUGUCGCUGCACAGUGCAACUUUGUUAUGCUCUUUUCGUGAUCAAACAAAAGCAUGUUGUUGUUUGUGUAGAUUUGUGCACAUAAAGGUUAGAAAUAUAAUGGAGAAGGAGCAUGUA